UACGUAGGUGGCAAGCGUUGUCCGGAUUUAUUGGGUUUAAAGGGUGCGUAGGCGGUCUUAUAAGUCAGUGCUGAAAUAUCCCGGCUUAACCGGGAGGGUGGCAUUGAUACUGUAGGACUUGAGUAUAGUCGAGGUAGGCGGAAUUGACGGUGUAGCGGUGAAAUGCGUAGAUAUCGAGAGGAACACCUGCGGCGAAGGCGGGUUGCUGGGCUGACACUGACGCUGACAGCGCGAAAGCUAGGGGAGCGAACGGG
rnacentral:rRNA from 1 species